ensembl:snRNA U6 U6 spliceosomal RNA
GUGCUUGCUUUGGCAGCACAUAAACUAAAACUGGAACAAUACAGAGAAGAUUAGCAUGACCCCUGCGCAAGACAUGCAAAUUCAUGAAGUGUUCCGUAUUAAA